UGGGGAAUAUUGGACAAUGGGCGGAAGCCUGAUCCAGCAACGCCGCGUGAGGGAUGACGGCCUUCGGGUUGUAAACCUCUUUCAGCACAGGCGAAGCUGCCACCACGUGUGGUGGUGGUGACGGUAUGUGCAGAAGAAGCACCGGCCAACUACGUGCCAGCAGCCGCGGUAAUACGUAGGGUGCGAGCGUUGUCCGGAAUUAUUGGGCGUAAAGGGCUCGUAGGCGGUUUGUCGCGUCGGGAGUGAAAUCCACUGGCUUAACUGGUGGCUUGCUUUCGAUACGGGCAGACUGGAGGUAUGCAGGGGAGAACGGAAUUCCUGGUGUAGCGGUGAAAUGCGCAGAUAUCAGGAGGAACACCGGUGGCGAAGGCGGUUCUCUGGGCAUGUCCUGACGCUGAGGAGCGAAAGUGUGGGGAGCGAACAGGAUUAGAUACCCCCGUAGUCC
rnacentral:rRNA from 1 species